rnacentral:rRNA from 1 species
GACGAACGCUGGCGGCGUGCUUAACACAUGCAAGUCGAACGGAAAGGCCCUGCUUUUGUGGGGUGCUCGAGUGGCGAACGGGUGAGUAACACGUGAGUAACCUGCCCUUGACUUUGGGAUAACUUCAGGAAACUGGGGCUAAUACCGGAUAGGAGCUCCUGCUGCAUGGUGGGGGUUGGAAAGUUUCGGCGGUUGGGGAUGGACUCGCGGCUUAUCAGCUUGUUGGUUGGGUAGUGGCUUACCAAGGCUUUGACGGGUAGCCGGCCUGGGAGGGUGACCGGCCCCAUUGGGACUGGGAUACGGCCCGGACUCCUACCGGAGGCAGCAGUGGGGAAUAUUGCACUAUGGGCGGAAGGCUGGUGCAGCCACGCCGCGUGCGGGAAGACGGCCUUCGGGUUGUAAACCGCUUUCGCCUGUGACGAAGCGUGAGUGACGGUAAUGGGUAAAGAAGCACCGGCUAACUACGUG